rnacentral:rRNA from 1 species
AUUGACCGCUGGCGGCAGGCCUAACACAUGCAAGUCGAACGAGUGGCGGACGGGUGAGACAUGUCUGGGAAACUGCCUGAUGGAGGGGGAUAACUACUGGAAACGGUAGCUAAUCCCGCAUACCAUCAGAUGUGCCCAGAUGGGAGUCGCUUGUUGGUGGGGGAACGGCUCACCAAGGCGAUGAUCCCUAGCUGGUCUGAGAGGAGUACCAGCCACACGGGAACUGAGACACGGUCCAGACUCCUACGUGAGGCAGCAGUGUGGAAUAUUGCACAAUGGGCGCAAGCCUGAUGCAGCCAUGCCGCGUGUAUGAAGAAGGCCUUCGGGUUGUAAAGUACUUUCAGCGGGGAGGCGUUACCCGCAGAAGAAGCACCGGCUAACUCCGUGCCAGCAGCCGCGGUAAUUC